rnacentral:rRNA from 1 species
GUGGGGAAUAUUGGACAAUGGGCGCAAGCCUGAUCCAGCCAUGCCGCGUGAGUGAUGAAGGCCUUAGGGUUGUAAAGCUCUUUCGCCGACGAAGAUAAUGACGGUAGUCGGAGAAGAAGCCCCGGCUAACUUCGUGCCAGCAGCCGCGGUAAUACGAAGGGGGCUAGCGUUGUUCGGAAUCACUGGGCGUAAAGCGCACGUAGGCGGAUCGUUAAGUCGAGGGUGAAAUCCUGGAGCUCAACUCCAGAACUGCCUUCGAUACUGGCGAUCUUGAGUCCGGAAGAGGUGAGUGGAACUCCUAGUGUAGAGGUGGAAUUCGUAGAUAUUAGGAAGAACACCAGUGGCGAAGGCGGCUCACUGGUCCGGUACUGACGCUGAGGUGCGAAAGCGUGGGGAGCAAACAGGAUUAGAUACCCCGGUAGUCC